AUUGAACGCUGGCGGCAGGCUUAACACAUGCAAGUCGAGCGGGGUGAUGGUGCUUGCACUAUCACUUAGCGGCGGACGGGUGAGUAAUGCUUAGGAAUCUGCCUAUUAGUGGGGGACAACAUCUCGAAAGGGAUGCUAAUACCGCAUACGUCCUACGGGAGAAAGCAGGGGAUCACUUGUGACCUUGCGCUAAUAGAUGAGCCUAAGUCGGAUUAGCUAGUUGGUGGGGUAAAGGCCUACCAAGGCGACGAUCUGUAGCGGGUCUGAGAGGAUGAUCCGCCACACUGGGACUGGAACACGGCCCAGACUCCUACGGGAGGCAGCAGUGGGGAAUAUUGGACAAUGGGGGGAACCCUGAUCCAGCCAUGCCGCGUGUGUGAAGAAGGCCUUAUGGUUGUAAAGCACUUUAAGCGAGGAGGAGGCUCUUUUGGUUAAUACCCAGGAUGAGUGGACGUUACUCGCAGAAUAAGCACCGGCUAACUCUGUGCCAGCCGCCGCGGUAA
rnacentral:rRNA from 1 species